rnacentral:rRNA from 1 species
CACGUAGGGGGCAAGCGUUGUCCGGAUUUAUUGGGCGUAAAGAGCUCGUAGGCGGCUCAGUAAGUCAGGUGUGAAACCUCCAGGCUCAACCUGGAGACGCCACCUGAUACUGCUGUGGCUAGAGUCCGGUAGGGAGCGUGGAAUUCCUGGUGUAGCGGUGAAAUGCGCAGAUAUCAGGAGGAACACCAGCGGCGAAGGCGGCGCUCUGGGCCGGAACUGACGCUGAGGAGCGAAAGCGUGGGUAGCAAACAGG